CGCGUAGGCGGCCCGCCCAGUCUCGGGUGAAAGCCCCCGGCUCAACCGGGAAGUGCCUGGGAUACUGGCGGGCUCGAGGGAGGUAGGGCGGAUGGAACUUCCGGUGGAGCGGUGAAAUGCGUUGAUAUCGGAAGGAACGCCGGUGGCGAAAGCGAUCCGCUGGGCCUCCUCUGACGCUGAGGCGCGAAAGCCAGGGGAGCAAACG
rnacentral:rRNA from 1 species